rnacentral:rRNA from 1 species
AGUGAACGCUGGCGUUGGGCUUACCACAUGCAAUUCGAACGGAACACCCUUAGUACUUUCCUCUUCGGGUGGGGAGUUGGGGUCCGUUGCAGGAUAACACCGAAACCUCUUUUUUGGUGGGGGUUCCGUAAGGUAACUUUACUCUCUUCCCCCUUCUCCCCUCGGUUUACAGGAUGGGAACUUUUUACCCUGCCGGGUUUUAUGUCCCUAUGUUGUAUUUGCUAGUUUGCGGGGUAAAGGCCCACCAAGGUGACGAUCCGUACAUGGUCUGAGAGGAUGAUAAGCAACACUGGAACUGAGAAACGGUCAAGACUACUAAGAGAGGGAGCAGUGGGGAAUAUUGGACAAUGGGGGCAAGCCUGAUCCAGCCAUACCGCGUGGGUGAAGAAGGCCUUCGGGUUGUAAAGACCUUUUGUUGGGAAAGAAAAGCAGCAGGUUAAUACCCCGCUGUUCUGACGGUACCCAAAGAAUAAGCACCGGCUAACUUCGUG